UACGAAGGGGGCUAGCGUUGCUCGGAAUCACUGGGCGUAAAGCGCACGUAGGCGGCUUCUUAAGUCAGGGGUGAAAUCCUGGAGCUCAACUCCAGAACUGCCUUCGAUACUGGAGACUUGAGUCCGGGAGAGGUGAGUGGAACUGCGAGUGUAGAGGUGAAAUUCGUAGAUAUUCGCAAGAACACCAGUGGCGAAGGCGGCUCACUGGCCCGGUACUGACGCUGAGGUGCGAAAGCGUGGGAGCAAACAGGGAUU
rnacentral:rRNA from 1 species